UACGUAGGUGGCGAGCGUUAUCCGGAAUUAUUGGGCGUAAAGAGCGCGCAGGUGGUUGAUUAAGUCUGAUGUGAAAGCCCACGGCUUAACCGUGGAGGGUCAUUGGAAACUGGUCGACUUGAGUGCAGAAGAGGGAAGUGGAAUUCCAUGUGUAGCGGUGAAAUGCGUAGAGAUAUGGAGGAACACCAGUGGCGAAGGCGGCUUCCUGGUCUGUAACUGACACUGAGGCGCGAAAGCGUGGGGAGCAUACAGGAUUAGA
rnacentral:rRNA from 1 species